rnacentral:tRNA from 1 species
GACCACGUAGCUCAGUUGGCAGAGCAUUGGGCUAGUAUUCCAAAGGUCGUAGGUUCGUUUCCCACCGUGGCCG